GGUAGUUCAGUUGGUUAGAAUACCGGCCUGUCACGCCGGGGGUCGCGGGUUCGAGUCCCGUCCACUCCGCCA
rnacentral:tRNA from 6 species